CAAAACUGAAAGUGAAGAAUACAAAACUGAAAGUGAAGAAUACCAAUGUGAUUAUGUCUGUAGCAUUGUCUUUCAACUGUGCUGACUUUGAAAAACAUACAAAGACACGUUCACAUGAUUUUCAAUUUUGCUGAAUUCCCAAAAGAAUAUUUAUUUAUUGUUAUAAUCUAAAAAAAAUGUAAAUAAAUAUCUUUACAUACUA